rnacentral:rRNA from 1 species
GGCCAAUGGGGGCUGCUAUACAUGCAAGUCGAACGAGCUUCCGUUGAAUGACGUGCUUGCACUGAUUUCAACAAUGAAGCGAGUGGCGAACUGGUGAGUAACACGUGGGGAAUCUGCCCAGAAGCAGGGGAUAACACUUGGAAACAGGUGCUAAUACCGUAUAACAACAAAAUCCGCAUGGAUUUUGUUUGAAAGGUGGCUUCGGCUAUCACUUCUGGAUGAUCCCGCGGCGUAUUAGUUAGUUGGUGAGGUAAAGGCCCACCAAGACGAUGAUACGUAGCCGACCUGAGAGGGUAAUCGGCCACAUUGGGACUGAGACACGGCCCAAACUCCUACGGGAGGCAGCAGUAGGGAAUCUUCCACAAUGGACGAAAGUCUGAUGGAGCAAUGCCGCGUGAGUGAAGAAGGGUUUCGGCUCGUAAAACUCUGUUGUUAAAGAAGAACACCUUUGAGAGUAACUGUUCAAGGGUUGACGGUAUUUAACCAGAAAGCCACGGCUAACUACGUGCCAGCAGCCGCGGUAAUACGUAGGUGGCAAGCGUUGUCCGGAUUUAUUGGGCGUAAAGCGAGCGCAGGCGGUUUUUUAAGUCUGAUGUGAAAGCCUUCGGCUUAACCGGAGAAGUGCAUCGGAAACUGGGAGACUUGAGUGCAGAAGAGGACAGUGGAACUCCAUGUGUAGCGGUGGAAUGCGUAGAUAUAUGGAAGAACACCAGUGGCGAAGGCGGCUGUCUAGUCUGUAACUGACGCUGAGGCUCGAAAGCAUGGGUAGCGAACAGGAUUAGAUACCCUGGUAGUCCAUGCCGUAAACGAUGAGUGCUAAGUGUUGGAGGGUUUCCGCCCUUCAGUGCUGCAGCUAACGCAUUAAGCACUCCGCCUGGGGAGUACGACCGCAAGGUUGAAACUCAAAGGAAUUGACGGGGGCCCGCACAAGCGGUGGAGCAUGUGUUUAAUUCGAAGCUACGCGAAGACCUUACCAGGUCUUGACAUCUUCUGCCAAUCUUAGAGAUAGACGUUCCCUUCGGGGACAGAAUGACAGGUGGUGCAUGUUGUCGUCAGCUCGUGUCGUGAGAUGGUUGGAUAAGUCCCGCACGAGCGCCACCUUAUUUAUCAGUUGCAGCAUCCAGUGGCACUCUGGGUGAGACUGCGGUGACAACGAGAGUGGGAUGACGUCAUCAUUCAUGCCUAUGACUGGCUCACCACGUGUCAAUGACGUACCGGAUGCGCGUCUGAGGCUAGCCUAUCCUCUUAAGGCGGUUCUCAGAUCGA